rnacentral:lncRNA from 1 species
CCAAGACCCUGGAAUUACAAUGUGAUGGGACAGUUCAAGUCAAGUCUUUGUUUUGGCAGGUCAAACGGUGUAAACUUUGCUGGAAGGAACCUUACUCAGAGGGCCAAUCACCUGCUUCUCUAGAGUUCUCAAGCUCUCCUGUGAGCACCAGGUUGAGCUGCAGAAAGCCAGGACCAGCUCAGAAACUGAGAAAUGGACAUGAAGAUGCCCAGAAACAUCUCUACAGCAUCCCUAACUGGGGGUUGAUCCAUUCAUUUCCAGACACAGAGAACAGAGUCACAUUCUGCUGUUUCCAUAUGUACUAUUUUAGUAAGACUUCUUGGGGCACAAGGCAGGAAGUUGGGGACAAUACAUUUGUCUGCACCAAGGCAGCCUGAGAAGAGAGAAGUGAAUACUCCUGGGGGUAUUCUAUAUUAUUCACUUAAUAUUCUAAGUGAAUCCUCUAGGGGUACCUGAGACAUGGAGUAUGAAAGUACACAUUCAAAAAAGUACCAGCUUUAAAACUAGAUUAUCUCUACUAUUCAAAAACACCAAGGAAAGGCCACACAAUGGAGACAAAGUGCAUCUGAGAU